rnacentral:rRNA from 1 species
GACGAACGCUGGCGGCGUGCUUAACACAUGCAAGUCGAACGGUAAGGCCCUUCGGGGUACACGAGUGGCGAACGGGUGAGUAACACGUGGGUGAUCUGCCCUGCACUUCGGGAUAAGCCUGGGAAACUGGGUCUAAUACCGGAUAGGACUCCUGGCUUCAUGGUUGGGGGUGGAAAGCUUUUGCGGUGUGGGAUGGGCCCGCGGCCUAUCGGCUUGUUGGUGGGGUAAUGGCCUACCAAGGCGACGACGGGUAGCCGGCCUGAGAGGGUGACCGGUCACACUGGGAAGGGGAUACGGCCCAGACUCCUACGGGAGGCAGCAGUGGGGAAUAUUGCACAAUGGGCGCAAGCCUGAUGCAGCGACGCCGCGUGAGGGAUGACGGCCUUCGGGUUGUAAACCUCUUUCAGCUAUGACGAAGCGCAAGUGACGGUAGUAGCAGAAGAAGGACCGGCCAACUACGUGCCAGCAGCCGCCGUAA